rnacentral:rRNA from 1 species
GACGAACGCUGGCGGCGUGCUUAACACAUGCAAGUCGAACGGAAAGGCCCUGCUUUCGUGGGGUGCUCGAGUGGCGAACGGGUGAGUAACACGUGAGUAACCUGCUCUUGACUUUGGGAUAACUGCAGGAAACUGGGGCUAAUACCGGAUAGGAGCUCCUGCUGCAUGGUGGGGGUUGGAAAGUUUCGGCGGUUGGGGAUGGACUCGCGGCUUAUCAGCUUGUUGGUGGGGUAGUGGCUUACCAAGGCUUUGACGGGUAGCCGGCCUGAGAGGGUGACCGGCCACAUUGGGACUGAGAUACGGCCAAGACUCCUACGGGGGGCAGCAGUGGGGAAUAUUGCACAAUGGGCGGAAGCCUGAUGCAGCAACGCCGCGUGCGGGAUGACGGCCUUCGGGUUGUAAACCGCUUUCGCCUGUGACGAAGCGUGUGUGACGGUAAUGGGUAAAGAAGCACCGGCUAACUACGUG